AUACGGAGGGUGCAAGCGUUACUCGGAAUCACUGGGCGUAAAGCGCGCGCAGGCGGUCUUUUAAGUUGGAUGUGAAAGCCUACGGCUCAACCGUAGAACUGCAUCCAAAACUAUUUAGCUAGAGUGUGCGAGAGGAAGAUGGAAUUAGUUGUGUAGGGGUAAAAUCCGUAGAGAUAACUAGGAAUACCAAAAGCGAAGGCAAUCUUCUGGAACACUACUGACGCUGAGGCGCGAAAGCGUGGGGAGCAAACAGGAUUAGAAACCCUAGUAGUCC
rnacentral:rRNA from 1 species